UGGCGGCGUGCUUACCAUGCAAGUCGAACGAUGAAGCCCUUCGGGGUGGAUUAGUGGCGAACGGGUGAGUAACACGUGGGCAAUCUGCCCUGCACUCUGGGACAAGCCCUGGAAACGGGGUCUAAUACCGGAUAUGACACGGGAUCGCAUGAUCUUCGUGUGGAAAGCUCCGGCGGUGCAGGAUGAGCCCGCGGCCUAUCAGCUUGUUGGUGAGGUAGUGGCUCACCAAGGCGACGACGGGUAGCCGGCCUGAGAGGGCGACCGGCCACACUGGGACUGAGACACGGCCCAGACUCCUACGGGAGGCAGCAGUGGGGAAUAUUGCACAAUGGGCGAAAGCCUGAUGCAGCGACGCCGCGUGAGGGAUGACGGCCUUCGGGUUGUAAACCUCUUUCAGCAGGGAAGAAGCGAAAGUGACGGUACCUGCAGAAGAAGCGCCGGCUAACUACGUGCCAGCAGCCGCGGUAAUACGUAGGGCGCAAGCGUUGUCCGGAAUUAUUGGGCGUAAAGAGCUCGUAGGCGGCUUGUCACGUCGGUUGUGAAAGCCCGGGGCUUAACCCCGGGUCUGCAGUCGAUACGGGCAGGCUAGAGUUCGGUAGGGGAGAUCGGAAUUCCUGGUGUAGCGGUGAAAUGCGCAGAUAUCAGGAGGAACACCGGUGGCGAAGGCGGAUCUCUGGGCCGAUACUGACGCUGAGGAGCGAAAGCGUGGGGAGCGAACAGGAUUAGAUACCCUGGUAGUCCACGCCGUAAACGGUGGGCACUAGGUGUGGGCAACAUUCCACGUUGUCCGUGCCGCAGCUAACGCAUUAAGUGCCCCGCCUGGGGAGUACGGCCGCAAGGCUAAAACUCAAAGGAAUUGACGGGGGCCCGCACAAGCGGCGGAGCAUGUGGCUUAAUUCGACGCAACGCGAAGAACCUUACCAAGGCUUGACAUACACCGGAAAGCAUCAGAGAUGGUGCCCCCCUUGUGGUCGGUGUACAGGUGGUGCAUGGCUGUGGUCAGCUCGUGUCGUGAGAUGUUGGGUUAAGUCCCGCAACGAGCGCAACCCUUGUCCCGUGUUGCCAGCAAGCCCUUUGGGGUGUUGGGGACUCACGGGAGACCGCCGGGGUCAACUCGGAGGAAGGUGGGGAGGAGGUCAAGUCAUCAUGCCCCUUAUGUCUUGGGGUGCACACGUGCUACAAUGGCCGGUACAAUGAGAUGCGAUACCGCGAGGUGGAGAGAAUCUCAAAAAACCGGUCUCAGUUUGGAUUGGGGUGUGCAACUCGACCCCACGAAGUCGGAGUCGCUAGUAAUCGCAGAUCAGCAUUGUUGCGGUGAAUACGUUCCCGGGCCUUGUACACACCGCCCGUCACGUCACGAAAGUCGGUAACACCCGAAGCCGGUGGCCCAACCCCCUUGUGGGGAGGGAGCUUCGAAGGUG
rnacentral:rRNA from 1 species